ensembl:misc_RNA Metazoa_SRP Metazoan signal recognition particle RNA
GCUGGGCAUAGUGGCGUGCACCUGUAAUCCCAGCUACUCAGGAGGCUGAGAUAGGAGAAUCAUUUGAGCCUGGGAGGCAGAGGUUGCAGUGAGCCAAGACUGCAUCACUGCACUCUAGCCUGGGCAACAGAGUGAGACCCUGUCUCCA